AGAGUUUGAUCCUGGCUCAGAGUGAACGCUGGCGGCAGGCCUAACACAUGCAAGUCGAACGGCAGCACAGGGGAGCUUGCUCCCUGGGUGGCGAGUGGCGGACGGGUGAGGAAUACAUCGGAAUCUGCCCUGUCGUGGGGGAUAACCUCGGGAAACCGGGACUAAUACCGCAUACGACCUUCGGGUGAAAGAGGGGGAUCGCAAGACCUCUCGCGAUUGGAUGAGCCGAUGUCGGAUUAGCUAGUUGGCGGGGUAAAGGCCCACCAAGGCGACGAUCCGUAGCUGGUCUGAGAGGAUGAUCAGCCACACUGGAACUGAGACACGGUCCAGACUCCUACGGGAGGCAGCAGUGGGGAAUAUUGGACAAUGGGCGCAAGCCUGAUCCAGCCAUGCCGCGUGAGUGAAGAAGGCCUUCGGGUUGUAAAGCUCUUUUGUCCGGAAAGAAAAGCUUCCGAUUAAUACUCGGGAGUCAUGACGGUACCGGAAGAAUAAGCACCGGCUAACUUCGUGCCAGCAGCCGCGGUAAUACGAAGGGUGCAAGCGUUACUCGGAAUUACUGGGCGUAAAGCGUGCGUAGGUGGUUCGUUAAGUCUGAUGUGAAAGCCCUGGGC
rnacentral:rRNA from 1 species